UACGAGGGGGGCGAGCGUUGUUCGGAAUUAUUGGGCGUAAAGGGUGCGUAGGCGGCCUGACAAGUCUGUUGUGAAAUCUCCGGGCUCAACUCGGAGUCUGCAUCAGAAACUGCCGUGCUGGAGUGUGGGAGAGGUGAGUGGAAUUCCCGGUGUAGCGGUGAAAUGCGUAGAGAUCGGGAGGAACACCUGCGGCGAAAGCGGCUCACUGGACCAUAACUGACGCUGAUGCACGAAAGCUAGGGGAGCAAACAGG
rnacentral:rRNA from 1 species